rnacentral:sRNA from 1 species
CCCAGCAUCACAGACUGGCUUCCAAGUAACAAAAGUGCUAUUCUUGUAUCAGAAUUUUCUCACCCCAGGGAACUGGCAAGUUACAUCAGACGACUGGAUUCUGAUGACAGAUUGUAUGAGGCCUAUGUAGAAUGGAAGCUGAAGGGUGAGAUCUCUAACCAGCGACUUCUGACAGCUCUCAGGGAACGGAAAUGGGGAGUGCAAGACGUCAACCAGGACAAUUACAUCGAUGCAUUUGAGUGUAUGGUGUGCACCAAGGUGUGGGCUAAUAUCAGGCUUCAGGAAAAGGGCUUACCACCCAAAAGAUGGGAGGCAGAAGAUACCCACCUGAGUUGCCCAGAGCCCACAGUGUUUGCUUUCUCACCACUCCGGACUCCACCUUUGAGCUCUUUGCGAGAGAUGUGGAUAUCCAGCUUUGAACAAUCCAAGAAAGAAGCCCAGGCACUAAGCUUAUUGGUAUUUGGCAAACCUGGUAUCCUGCAGCCGAGCAUGAACAUGAAAUACAUUAGAACUUGGCAAUGAGAGAUCCCAUCUGUUGGUUUCCAGGGAUGUAAGUGAGUAAUAAAAGCUGUUUCAAGUUUA